rnacentral:rRNA from 1 species
GACGAACGCUGGCGGCGUGCUUAACACAUGCAGGUCGAGCGGUAAGGCCCUUUCGGGGGUACGACGAGCGGCGAACGGGUGAGUAACACGUGGGUGACCUGCCCUCAGCUCUGGGAUAAGCCUGGGAAACCGGGUCUAAUACCGGAUAUGACUCCAUGACGCAUGUUGUGGGGUGGAAAGCCUUGUGCGGCUGAGGAUGGGCCCGCGGCCUAUCAGCUUGUUGGUGGGGUGAUGGCCUACCAAGGCGACGACGGGUAGCCGCCUGAGAGGGCGACCGGCCACACUGGGACUGAGACACGGCCCAGACUCCUACGGGAGGCAGCAGUGGGGAAUCUUGCGCAAUGGGCGAAAGCCUGACGCAGCGACGCCGCGUGAGGGAUGACGGCCU